CACCUUUUGACAUGCCUGGACAUCCCGAGAGAUCGGGCUUUCCCUUCGGGGACUGGGACACAGGUGCUGCAUGGCUGUCGUCAGCUCGUGUCGUGAGAUGUUGGGUUAAGUCCCGCAACGAGCGCAACCCUCGCUGUUAGUUGCCAUCAUUUAGUUGGGAACUCUAACAGGACUGCCGGUGCUAAGCCGGAGGAAGGUGGGGAUGACGUCAAGUCCUCAUGGCCCUUACGGGGUGGGCUACACACGUGCUACAAUGGCGACUACAGAGGGUAAAUCCCUAAAAGUCGUCUCAGUUCGGAUUGUCCUCUGCAACUCGAGGGCAUGAAGUUGGAAUCGCUAGUAAUCGCGGAUCAGCAUGCCGCGGUGAAUACGUUCCC
rnacentral:rRNA from 1 species